CCGGGCAAUCGCUGCGUACCUUGAGUACGUAGAGGAAAGUCCAUGCUCGCACGGCCUGUGAUGGCCGUAGUGUUCGUGCCUGGCGAAGUCAUAAGCUGGGGUAGUUCGUCAAUGGACGGGCUAACGGCGGAAAAAAAGCCUGGGUCCGCUUAGCGGAUACGGCUUAGUAUUCCUGAAAAGUGCCAUAGUGACGAUGUCUUCCGGAAACGGAAGAAGUGGAACGUGGUAAACCCCUCGAGCGGGAAACUCAAACUUGGUAGAGGAACCCUUUGGCAGGAAACGAACGAAAAAAGGGACAGAGUUGCUCUGUAGAUAGAUGAUUGCCACUUCCUGCGCGGAAGUACGGAACAUGGCUUACAG
rnacentral:RNase_P_RNA from 1 species